rnacentral:rRNA from 1 species
UGCAACUCGACUGCAUGAAGCCGGAAUCGCUAGUAGUCGCGGAUCAGAAUGCCGCGGUGAAUACGUUCCCGGGUCUUGUACACACCGCCCGUCACACCAUGGGAGUCGGAAAUGCCCGAAGCCGGUGGCCUAACCGAUAAGGGAGGAGCCGUCGAAGGCAGGUCUGAUGACUGGGGUGAAGUCGUAACAAGGUAGC